AGAAGCAGCUUUAUAACCCUGCAACUCACCAGUGGCUACCCACAGAAGCUCAGCAGGAGUGAGCCUGGCCAGUACCUGGAUGGGAGACCUCCUGGGAAAGCUAAGGCGGCUGCUGGAA
rnacentral:rRNA from 1 species